CAUUGGUCCGCCGCUUCCGUGACACGAGCAGACGACCGGCGGUUGAGCUGGGCGUGUGAGUCAGACCGGGAGGAACCAUCCGGAUCCGUCCCGUCCCGUUCCUUCCUUCCUUCCGACCCACGGCGAGCGAGGAGACCCACCUCGCCGUCUCACUCCCGUCCCACCGCCGCCUCCUUCCCUCGCCGGCGCCCCCGAAUUCGAACCGGCGCGCAUGGCGAGGCCGGACGAGAGCUGGGCGCGGAGCACCUCCCCGGGGGACGACGCGUCCACGAGCCACGCGCCCCACCCGGAGGGCGCCUCGCCGGACUCGCUGCGGAACACGCCGUCCAACAUCGCCAGGCUCGAGGACGCGAUCGAGCACUGCGCCGCCCGCCGCAAGUACCUCGCUCGCACCAAGAGCCCCUCCGACGGCGAGGACGUCCGCUGGUACUUCUGCAAGCUCCCCCUCGGGGACAGAGUGCUCUCUGCUUCAGUUCCACGGAUGGAGAUAGUUGGGAAAGGAGACUAUUUCAGGUUCAGCAUGAGGGACUGCUUGGCAUUGGAGGCGUCUUUCUUAGAGAGAGAGGAAUCGCUGCUGGGGUACUGGUGGAGGGAGUAUGCAGAAUGCAGUGAAGGGCCAACAGGUUCCUUGGUUAAAGCUGAUAUGUCAGACUCUGAAUAUUUGUAUAAGGUGGAGGAGGAGAGGGUUGGCGUUCCUGUGAAAGGUGGACUCUAUGAGGUUGAUUUGAUGAGGCGCCAUUGCUUCCCUGUAUAUUGGAAUGGUGAGAAUAGACGCGUUUUGAGAGGCCACUGGUUUGCUCGAAAAGGAGGUCUUGAUUGGAUUCCCUUGCGUGAAGAUGUUUCUGAACAACUUGAGUUAGCAUAUAAGUGCCAGGUCUGGCAUCGUCGUAAAUUUCAACCUUCAGGCUUGUUUGCUGCGCGGGUCGAUCUCCAAGGAAGUACACCGGGAUUGCAUGCCCUUUUUACAGGAGAGGAUGAUACUUGGGAAGCUUGGCUUGUCUUUGAUACAGGUCCUAAACUAGGCAGCAACACAAUCAAAUUAAGGCGUGGUUUCUCUUCUUCUGGAUCUGCAAAUCCUACCCAGGAUGAGUUACGUCAACAGAAAGAAGAGGAAACAGAUGAUUACUGUUCUCAGGUUCCAGUUGGUCAUUUGGUAUUCAUGGUUCAUGGUAUCGGACAGAGAUUGGAGAAAGCUAAUCUUGUUGAUGAUGUAGUCGAUUUCCGCCGUGUGACCGCUAACCUAGCCGAUAGAUACUUAACUCCUUAUCAAAGAAGUACACAGAGGGUCCUAUUCAUUCCCUGUCAGUGGAGGAAGAGUUUGAAGCUCGGUGGUGAAAACACAGUCGAGAAGAUCACUUUGGAUGGAGUUAAAGGUCUUCGCGUAGCAUUAGGCGCCACCGUUCAUGAUGUUCUAUAUUACAUGAGUCCUAUCUACUGCCAGCAUAUAAUUGACUCGGUUUCGGGUCAGCUGAACCAGCUGUAUAUGAAAUUUCUGAAGAGAAAUCCUGGUUACAGUGGAAAGGUAUCAUUAUAUGGCCAUUCGUUGGGAAGUGUUCUAACGUAUGAUAUACUUUGCCACCAAGAAUCCCUUUCCGCCCCAUUUCCAACAGAUUAUUUUAAUAUGGAAAUUUUGUCCGAUGAAGGCCAAGUAGGAAAAGGACCUAACACAAUUGAUGUUCAUGACUCUGGUGUAAAAGAGCAUGAUACUUCUUCCACUUCAGGGCAUUCAUGUGUAGAUAAUGUAGAUCAUGUGGAUGAAGAGAGCACCAGAAGUGAUCAUUCACUUACAUACAAGACUGUUCUGCCAUGUGUGCUUGAAAAUGUGCCAAACAAUGAUGAUGCACUUGAAUCACCUAUUCCAGUUGAUGGGGUGCAGUCUGAAGUCGAAAAUCAGGUUGAAAAUCAUCAUAUGGCACAUACUGAAGGAGCUGCUCCAGCUGUAAGCACAAAAGAUGCUGACGAGUGCAUUACAAGAUCCACCAAGGAACUCCAUGAGGCCCCUGACAAAGACAGAUUAAUCUCAUCACUAGAAGAAGAGGUGAGCCAUCUUAAAGCUAAACUAGCGGAACUUGAGCGGCAGAGUGAUUUAGUGACUCAAAGCAUCAGUAGUGUUCAGUCUCAUCAAGAUAAAGAUACUAAUGAUACAGUGAGCCUAGCAUCAGGCAAACUUAACAUAGGGCAAGGUAGCACAAGUCAGUCCUACAGACCACGUAUUAGAUACACUAAACUAAAUUUUAAGGUUGACACAUUCUUUGCUGUUGGAUCUCCUUUGGGAGUCUUCUUGUCGCUGAGGAACGUUCGUAUUGGUGUUGGCAGGGGACAAGAUUAUUGGCAAGACAAGAACGUUGUUGAAGAAAUGCCAUGCUGCAGGCAGAUGUUCAAUGUUUUCCAUCCUUUCGAUCCUGUAGCAUACAGAGUUGAACCACUUGUAUGUGAAGAUUAUGUGAACAAGCGCCCCGUUGUUAUACCCUACCAUAGAGGCGGAAAGAGGAUACAUGUUGGAGUGCAGGAGUUCACAGAAGGUGUUGCUGCACGUUCUCAGGCUAUUGCCCGUCAAUUCAAGUCAUUGAAGGUCAAAGCGGUAGCUGCCUUGUUAUCACUGAGCAAAAAUGACACGGAAGAGGACGAUGAGAGCACGAAGGAGGAGGAGAGAUCAUAUGGUUCCAUGAUGAUGGAAAGGCUGACUGGUUCACCGGAUGGUCGAGUUGAUCAUGUGCUUCAGGAGAAAACAUUUCAACAUCCAUAUUUGUCCGCUCUGGGAUCUCAUACCAACUACUGGCGAGAUCAUGAUACCGCUCUCUUCAUUAUCAAACAUUUGUACCGUGAUAUACCUGAAGAGCCUCCAACUGAUGGAACUGGAAGUGCACCCAUUAGACUGUUCUAUGUGAGGGAUCCAAUUGCUGAAGACACGCCCCUGACAUUUUCAGACAACUCCUCAGUCAAGGAAUUCUCCAGAAAGGUCAAAACUUAUUCGAGAAAAGGGGAUGAUGAUGCAAACUGCGAAGCUUCUUGAUGGUACAGAGGGAGUAGGUUGGACUGUUGGGUGAGAAGUUUCAGUAAGUCAGUACGUACAUAACGGGCGCAUAUGUUGUCGAACCCCGAGAGAACCCAUGCGUAACCACUGUAUGUUGCAACGUGACAUCGUCUUUGCGAUUUUCACCUAGCAAAAGUGUUCCGCGAAAAGAAAAAACCCUGAGCAGAAGCGUGAUGUACAUAAAAAGCACCUGCAUAAAGGGACGCAUUGCACCGUUACGGACAAAGUGGGGAUACAUUGCUGGUAUGCAUCCUUGUCACUUUGUUGGCACCACAGAUCAGAGUCAGAACACAUUUGCGGGUGAAUGGAUGUUGCACAUAGAAUUAUGGGCCGGCACAUGAUGUGUAUAACUUGUUUGCCUGUAUCUCAGGCAGUAAUUUUGUACAUGUACAGAUAAAAGGGUGUGUGUGUGUGUGUGUAAAAAAGAGCUGAUUAGUUUUAAGCAGUUGAAGAGCAGGUGGAAAAACAGAUGUGACUCAGUUACGUGCCUGCAGUGCAGCACGUCCAAUGGCGAUUCCACCGGCACAAGAGCAAGAUGUGCAUUCUCACCUCAUGUGUAGAGAGUAGCAGAGCUUUUGCCCAAUGUCAAAUUCUCCAUUCCGGUUGUAAAACAAACAUCAAAGGACAAAAAGAGGAGUCAUCAACGCCAUGUGGCAGUCUAAGGAAAUACCCAACCCAAUGUACGCUUGAUUUUUGUCCCCUGGCACCAGUUAAAUGAUAGCCCCUCUCUCUCUCUCUCUCUCUCGCGUGUCAUGGAAAACUCGGUCAAGAAACAGCUGGACUUGAUGAUAUCAUAAUAAACGCUGGUUGAUAUGGAACUAAA